CAGUCGCCACGGUAAUACAGAGGGUGCGAGCGUUAAUCGGAUUUACUGGGCGUAAAGCGCGCGUAGGUGGUUUGUUAAGUUGGAUGUGAAAUCCCCGGGCUCAACCUGGGAACUGCAUCCAAAACUGGCAAGCUAGAGUAUGGUAGAGGGUGGUGGAAUUUCCUGUGUAGCGGUGAAAUGCGUAGAUAUAGGAAGGAACACCAGUGGCGAAGGCGACCACCUGGACUGAUACUGACACUGAGGUGCGAAAGCGUGGGGAGCAAACAGGAUUAGAUACCCCAGUAGUCCCUGUCUCUUAUAC
rnacentral:rRNA from 1 species